rnacentral:rRNA from 1 species
UACGUAGGGUGCAAGCGUUGUCCGGAAUUAUUGGGCGUAAAGAGCUUGUAGGCGGUUUGUCGCGUCUGCUGUGAAAUUUCGGGGCUCAACCCCGAACUUGCAGUGGGUACGGGCAGACUAGAGUGUGGUAGGGGAGACUGGAAUUCCUGGUGUAGCGGUGAAAUGCGCAGAUAUCAGGAGGAACACCGAUGGCGAAGGCAGGUCUCUGGGCAGUAACUGACGCUGAGAGCGAAAGCGUGGGGAGCGAACAGG